GACGAACGCUGGCGGCGCGCUUAACACAUGCAAGUCGAGCGAGAACCGGGGCUUCGGCCCCGGGGACAGCGGCGAACGGGUGAGUAACACGUGGGCAACCUGCACUCGGCACCGGAAUAGCCCGGGGAAUCCGGGAUUAAUGCCGGAUGGCCCCUCCGCCCUGCGGGGCGGUGUGAAACGUUAUCUUUGUCCUCCGGCCGAGGAUGGGCCAGCGGAGGAUUAGCUUGUUGGUGGGGUAACGGCCUACACAGACUCCGAUCCGUAGCGGGUGUGAGAGGACGAUCAGCCACACUGGGAAUGAGACACGGCCCAGACUCCUACGGGAGGCAGCAGUGGGGAAUCUUGCGCAAUGGGCGAAAGCCUGACGCAGCGACGCCGCGUGAGGGAAGAAGGCCUUCGGGUUGUAAACCUCUUUCAGGAGGGACGAAGCCACUCGGGUGAAUAGCCCAGAGGGUGACGGUACCUCCAGAAGAAGCCCCGGCUAACUACGUGCCAGCAGCCGCCGCAG
rnacentral:rRNA from 1 species